rnacentral:misc_RNA from 1 species
UGCUGCCUGCCUGAGCUACGUUGAGUACUGCUGCGCGUGACAUACUCAGCUGAGCGCCGCACCGUACAGCCUGCUGAUAAGCGAUGACGGUGAUUUGACUGGGGUUAAAUGAAGAUCAAGCCCGAGGAACUCCUGAUGAAGAGGAGCAGAGCCAAGCCGAGGGGAGUUAAGCUGACGAGGACGUUCAGCUGUCAGGAGAGGCCGUGUUAGAAACUUUC